UACGGGGGGGGCAAGCGUUGUUCGGAAUUACUGGGCGUAAAGGGCUCGUAGGUGGCCAACUAAGUCAGACGUGAAAUCCCUCGGCUUAACCGGGGAACUGCGUCUGAUACUGGAUGGCUUGAGUUUGGGAGAGGGACGCGGAAUUCCAGGUGUAGCGGUGAAAUGCGUAGAUAUCUGGAGGAACACCGGUGGCGAAGGCGGCGUUCUGGACUGCAACUGACACUGAAAAACGAAAGCCAGGGGAGCAAACGGG
rnacentral:rRNA from 1 species